rnacentral:snRNA from 1 species
AGAUAUGUGAGUAAUUUGGCCAUGUCAUCUAUCAUUCCAUUGAUUUCCAGGCUUAAUUUGGCUAAUCUGGCUGACUUGGAGCAUUCCUUUUUCUCCCCCACCACUCCAUAUGCAGCCCUUUUGAAGCUACAUAGUUAGUUUAAGUGAGGACCUUCCCCCAAUAGAGGAGGACCAAUAGAAGAGAACCAUUUUUGGUUAAGGCUAUAUGAAUAGCUGCACUUCCCUGAUAGAACCUCCCAAAAAGUUCUCAAAAUACUCAAAGGAAAAUUAAAUGACUAAUAAAGAGCAUUGUAUCUGGCAAGGCUGUACUGA